rnacentral:lncRNA from 1 species
GCUGAUCAUCAUCAUUCCUUCUUGAUCUUUUAUCACUGUCUGCCUAGUCCUAAUUAUCCUCCUUGUGUAAGUCACAAUCACAUUUUUAGAUUACAUAUUAUUUAUUGUUCACAAAUUAACAAAUUUAUUUAUCUUGGUCACAAUGAACCAAUUUAUUGGUCUCAAACACUCUUUGUUCCACUCGACCACUGUCAUCGCUACCGCCACCAACACCACCUG